rnacentral:rRNA from 1 species
UACGUAGGGGGCAAGCGUUGUCCGGAAUCAUUGGGCGUAAAGCGCGUGUAGGCGGCUGAGUAAGUCUGCUCUGAAAGCCCGGGGCUCAACCCCGGGAGGCGGGUGGAUACUGCUCAGCUCGAGUCCGGAAGAGGAGUGUGGAAUUCCUGGUGUAGCGGUGAAAUGCGCAGAUAUCAGGAGGAACACCGGUGGCGAAGGCGGGUCUCUGGGCCGAUACUGACGCUGAGGAGCGAAAGCGUGGGGAGCGAACAGG